rnacentral:rRNA from 1 species
GAUGAACGCUAGCUACAGGCUUAACACAUGCAAGUCGAGGGGAAACGAUAUUGGAAGCUUGCUUCCGAUAGGCGUCGACCGGCGCACGGGUGAGUAACGCGUAUCCAACCUGCCCAUCACUUGGGAAUAACCUUGCGAAAGUAAGACUAAUGCCCAAUGACAUUUAUAGAAGGCAUCUGAAAUGAAUUAAAGAUUUAUCGGUGAUGGAUGGGGAUGCGUCUGAUUAGCUUGUUGGCGGGGUAACGGCCCACCAAGGCGACGAUCAGUAGGGGUUCUGAGAGGAAGGUCCCCCACAUUGGAACUGAGACACGGUCCAAACUCCUACGGGAGGCAGCAGUGAGGAAUAUUGGUCAAUGGACGGAAGUCUGAACCAGCCAAGUAGCGUGCAGGAAGACGGGCCCUAUGGGUUGUAAACUGCUUUUAUGUGGGAAUAAAGUGAGGGACGUGUCCCUUUUUGUAGGUACCACAUGAAUAAGGACCGGCUAAUUCCGUG